rnacentral:tRNA from 1 species
AUUUAUAUAGUAUAUUUAGUACAACUGACUUCCAAUCAGUUAGAUUGAUUAAAUCAAGAUAAA